rnacentral:lncRNA from 1 species
UGCACUGAGAACAGUUUCUGUGUUAACUAAGGGAAGAAGAGACCUCAUGGCUUGCAGGACAAGGACAACUGUGAGGGGUUGCCAUGGGCAAAGAAGGCAGAGCCUGAUUUAUGCAAGGCUUUAUUUAGAGCUUUAUUCCAAAAGCAUGAAAAACCUACUGAAGAUCUGAGGCAGAAAGUAAGAUAUUUAGGUUUGUGAAGGCAGAGUACUCUUUUAAUUAACUCCCUGCAAACACAGAAAAUAUUGAGUACACAAUAGACUCACAUUUCCCCAUCAUGCAGCAAGCCUUGGACAAGCUCACAUCCCAAAUACACGGUUUGAAAAAA